rnacentral:rRNA from 1 species
AUGUGUAUUCCGAAGGAGAGAGGAGGUAUGGGAUUCCGGGAUAUUCAUAGCUUUAACUUGGCAAUGUUGGCAAAACAUUGUUGAAGACUAAUUGAGAACUUUGGUUCAUUAUGUGCACGAGUUCUGAGAGCCAAGUACUACCCUACAGGAGAUAUUCUGAAUUGUCAACUGAAGAAGGGGUCGUCCUGUUGGGGAACGUAG